rnacentral:rRNA from 1 species
ACCUACGGGAGGCAGCAGUAGGGAAUCUUCCACAAUGGGCGCAAGCCUGAUGGAGCAACACCGCGUGAGUGAAGAAGGGUUUCGGCUCGUAAAGCUCUGUUGUUGGAGAAGAACGUGCGUGAGAGUAACUGUUCACGCAGUGACGGUAUCUAACCAGAAAGCCACGGCUAACUACGUGCCAGCAGCCGCGGUAAUACGUAGGUGGCAAGCGUUAUCCGGAUUUAUUGGGCGUAAAGGGAACGCAGGCGGGCUUUU